rnacentral:rRNA from 1 species
GCGUUAAUCGAAAUUACUGGGCGUAAAGCGUCCGCAGGCGGUUUUAUAAGUCUGAUGUGAAAUCGCCGGGCUCAACCUGGGAACUGCAUUGGAGACUGUAAGGCUAGAGUGUGUCAGAGGGCGGUAGAAUUCCACGUGUAGCAGUGAAAUGCGUAGAUAUGUGGACGAAUACCGAUGGCGAAGGCAGCCCCCUGGGAUAACACUGACGCUCAUGCAGGAAAGCGUGGGGAGCAAA